GGUCCCUUCUCUUCCUUUCUUUUUUUUCACGCUGCACUCCUCUUUCUUUCUUCUUCCUUAGUUCGUGAGCUUCAAUGGAGAAAGGGCAAGAGAGAACUUGAUGAUUUGGUCACCAUUUCAUCUAGACUCCAACAUAGAAAAGCAGCGCCUGCACAUGGAAAGGAAGGAGAAAAUGGAUUGAUUCCAUAGUUCUAAGCUUAGGGAAGUCAUCAAUAGUUAUUGGUUAGGCUAUCUAAGAGUGUAAUCAGAUGAAGUAGGUGGACGAACAACUUGUAGACAACCAAGUGUACGGGUUAUUAAAUAGCAAGUUAGCAGCAGGAAAGAGACGACAGGAAGUGGACUCUUGGGUGGAGACUGCUCCAUAAACCCCAAGUUUAUUGAGAUUCAUUCUCACCCCGCGUUAUGGGGAUAUAUUUCAGGUAUCGCAGCAGUUGACGAUCGUUCUCGGGGCAAGAGGCCCGUGGUUGAUGAGUAGAUCUGAGCAUAGAUGUUGCCUGCUUAUUUUGGGAGUCUGUUGUAUAUAUUGUGACACUGUGAUGUAUUAUGUUUAUGUAGGUUGAUGUAGGAUGUUGUAGUUAUGGCACAGAGUCACCUUUUUGAUAUGAUAUAUAUAGAGUUAUGGAUCAUGUAUGUAUACUACUGUAUAUGAUAUGGAAUUGUUGUAUAUUGUGGGUUGUAAGAGCCCCAAGGCAUUGCUGGUCCUUGUGUGUGCCACCCAUUGGAUUAUUAGGUAUAUUUGUGGUAUUAGCAAGCUUAUGUAAA